GACGAACGCUGGCGGCGUGCCUAAUACAUGCGAGUUGAGCGCUGAAGGUUGGUACUUGUACCAACUGGAUGAGCAGCGAACGGGUGAGUAACGCGUGGGGAAUCUGCCUUUGAGCGGGGGACAACAUUUGGAAACGAAUGCUAAUACCGCAUAAAAACUUUAAACACAAGUUUUAAGUUUGAAAGAUGCAAUUGCAUCACUCAAAGAUGAUCCCGCGUUGUAUUAGCUAGUUGGUGAGGUAAAGGCUCACCAAGGCGAUGAUACAUAGCCGACCUGAGAGGGUGAUCGGCCACAUUGGGACUGAGACACGGCCCAAACUCCUACGGGAGGCAGCAGUAGGGAAUCUUCGGCAAUGGACGAAAGUCUGACCGAGCAACGCCGCGUGAGUGAAGAAGGGUUUCGGAUCGUAAAACUCUGUUGGUAGAGAAGAACGUUGGUGAGAGUGGAAAGCUCAUCAAGUGACGGUAACUACCCAGAAAGGGACGGCUAACUACGUG
rnacentral:rRNA from 1 species